CAGUAGCCACGGGAAUACGAAGGGGGCUAGCGUUGUUCGGAAUUACUGGGCGUAAAGCGCACGUAGGCGGACAUUUAAGUCAGGGGUGAAAUCCCGGGGCUCAACCCCGGAACUGCCUUUGAUACUGGGUGUCUAGAGUAUGGAAGAGGUGAGUGGAAUUCCGAGUGUAGAGGUGAAAUUCGUAGAUAUUCGGAGGAACACCAGUGGCGAAGGCGGCUCACUGGUCCAUUACUGACGCUGAGGUGCGAAAGCGUGGGGAGCAAACAGGAUUAGAAACCCCCGUAGUCCCUGUCUCUUAUAC
rnacentral:rRNA from 1 species